rnacentral:rRNA from 1 species
UCGAGAAUCAUUCACAAUGGGGGAAACCCUGAUGGUGCGACGCCGCGUGAAGGAAGAAGGUUUUCGGAUUGUAAACUUCUUUUGUAAGGGACGAAAAAUGACGGUACCUUAAGAAUAAGCUCCGGCUAACUACGUGCCAGCAGCCGCGGUAAUACGUAGGGAGCAAGCGUUAUCCGGAUUUACUGGGUGUAAAGGGAGCGUAGGCGGAUUGGUAAGUCAGUUGUGAAAGUUUGCGGCUCAACCGUAAAAUUGCAGUUGAUACUGUCAGUCUUGAGUACAGUAGAGGUAAGCGGAAUUCGUGGUGUAGCGGUGAAAUGCUUAGAUAUCACGAAGAACUCCAAUUGCGAAGGCAGCUUGCUGGACUGUUACUGACGCUGAGGCUCGAAAGUGUGGGUAUCAAACA